rnacentral:misc_RNA from 1 species
CAACUGCGUGAAUUAAUGUGAAUUGCAGACACAUUGAACAUUGACACUUUGAACGCACAUUGCGGAAGCGGGGUUUUCCCGCUUCCACAUCUGUCUGAGGGUGAUAUGGAAAAUAACAUCGCUCACUCUGUGAUCGGUACUGGUGAGACAGUACUACUGGUCAUGGUGCCCAAUGGUGAGCGGGUUUGACUCGCUGCCAGAGUUCACUCUGGUACCGAGUUUAAAUAUGGGUAGGCGGGUGAAUCUCUCUCCGCCGUCACUCUUUACAGGACGCGCUGGUCUUGCCCACCCCGGACCAGGCUUGCCGGUGAAUCUUUCGGCAGUCUGUUCUAAGGGUCGAAUCCGGGCUUGAACGCCGUCUCUCUCAUUUCUUCACCUCAGCUCAGGUGUGAUUACCCGC